UAUCAACAACGACAAGAGAUCAGUGAAAUUAGAAGUAAAGUUAUC
rnacentral:misc_RNA from 1 species